UACGGAGGGUGCAAGCGUUAUCCGGAAUCACUGGGUUUAAAGGGUGCGUAGGCGGGUUUGUAAGUCAGAGGUGAAAGGUAGUCGCUUAACGAUUAAAUUGCCUUUGAUACUGCGGAUCUUGAAAUACGUUGAGGUUGGCGGAAUGAGACAUGUAGCGGUGAAAUGCUUAGAGAUGUCUUAGAACACCGAUUGCGAAGGCAGCUGACUGGACGUUAUUUGACGCUGAGGCACGAAAGCGUGGGGAUCAAACAGG
rnacentral:rRNA from 1 species